rnacentral:rRNA from 1 species
GAUGAACGCUAGCGGCAGGCUUAACACAUGCAAGUCGAGGGGUAUAGUUCUUCGGAGCUAUAGACCGGCGCACGGGUGCGUAACGCGUCUGCACUUUACCUUGUGCAGAGGGAUAGCCCAGAGCACUUUGGAUUAAUACCUCAUGGUAUGUGAGAAGUGCACCAUUUUCACAUUAACGUCACAAUGGCCACAGAUGAGCAUGCCAACCAUUAGCUAGUUGGUAAGGUACCGGCUUACCAAGGCAACGAUGGGUAGUGGUCCUGAGAGGGAGAUCCCCCACACUGGUACUGAGACACGGACCAGACUCCUACGGGAGGCAGCAGUGAGGAAUAUUGGACAAUGGGCGCAAGCCUGAUCCAGCCAUGCCGCGUGCAGGAUGACGGUCCUAUGGAUUGUAAACUGCUUUUGUACAGGAAGAAACACUGGUUCGUGAACCAGCUUGACGGUACUGUAAGAAUAAGGAUCGGCUAACUCCGUGCCAGCCGCCGCGGUAACAC